rnacentral:rRNA from 1 species
AUACGUAGGUGACAAGCGUUAUCCGGAUUUACUGGGCGUAAAGGGCGUGUAGGCGGUCUUGCAAGUCAGAAGUGAAAUUCCUGAGCUCAACUUGGGCGCUGCUUCUGAAACUGCAGGACUUGAGUGCUGGAGGGGAUAGCGGAAUUCCUAGUGGAGCGGUAAAAUGCGCAGAUAUUAGGAAGAACACCGCUGGCGAAGGCGGCUAUCUCGACAAUAACGGACACUGAGGCGCGAACGCGUGGGGAGAAAACAGGCAGUGAUACCUUGCUAUCCCACGCCGUAAACGAUGAAUGAAAGGUGUAGGGGGUAUCGACUCCCUCUGUGCCGCAGUGAACACAAUAAGUAUUCCGCCUGGGGAGUACGGCCGCAAGGUUGAAACUCAAAUGAAUUGACGGGG